rnacentral:pre_miRNA from 1 species
AAACUACUCCCUCCGUCCGAAAAUACUUGUCAUCAAAAUGGAUAAAAAGAGAUGUAUCUAGAACUAAAAUACAUCUAGAUACAUCCCCUUUUAUCAAUUAUGAUGACAAAUAUUUCCGGACGGAGGGAGUAAUAU